UGUACCUCAAUACAGAACAUCAUACGAAGAAGGCGGCCUGCGCCAACUACUACUUCAAAACAUUAAGAAUUCUGGCUACAUAAAACCAACACCUGUUCAGAAAGCUCCGGUUGUAGUUAUUGUUGUCAAAAGAGGUUUAAUUGCUUGUGCUGUCACGUGCUCCGGCAAAACGGCAAUCCAAUUAAUUAACGCUGUGUAAUUUUGAAACGUUGAUGCCCUCGUACUGACUUGAUUCGAAUGGGUCGGUAUGAACUGGGUAAGUUGAAGUAAAAGUAAUUUUGAGUGGGCAUGCCAGUGAUUGCGACUACUAAAAGGUCCAAUUGCAUCUAAGAUACUCAACAAACCCUUCGUGAUAUUCGUUGAUUAAGUCAUCUAAAAUUUUACAUUUUUUCAUGCAGGCGGCGUACUUGGUACCGGUUAUGAACAUAUUGUUAGAACAAGGCGUUGCUGGUGCGUCUCAUGCCAUGGGGCAAAAACCAGAAGUUGUAAUUGUCGCACCCACUCGUGAAUUGGCCAUUCAAAUUCAGCGCGAGGCGUGAAAAUUCUCCUACAGUUCGGUUUGAAAGUCUGUGGUUAUAUAUGGAGGAACUCUCACGAGCCAUCAGCGGUCAAAUCUUCAAGCUGGGUGUAAUAUUUUUGUCGCGACCGCGGGGCGAUUCAAGGAUUUUCUCGACUGUGAAGUAUUUGACUUCUCGCGAGUCAGGUUUUAAAUUUUGGACGAAGCUGAUCGAGUGCUUGAUAUGGGUUUCGGUCCCAAUGUUGAAAAAAUUGUCAAUCAUCCAACGAUGCAUCCGAAAGGAAUCCGUCGUGUUUGUAUGUUUUCGGCUACAUUCCCAGAUGACGUACAAGCGCUGGCUGCGACGUACAUAGAAGACUACAUAUUCGUCACAACAGGCAUUGUCGGUGGCACCAAUCCGGAUGUUGAACAGCUGUUUUUUUCAGUGCUCGAAAAGAGAUAUGAGAGCUAAGCUGAUCGAAGUUUUACAAGAUCUCGGUGAUGCCAAGACUAUCUUUUUUGUCGACAGCAAAAAGACGGCGGAUUUCGUCGCUGCAUUCUCGUGCAAUAACAACUUACAAUCUGCCAGCAUCCAUGGUAAGCGUAAACGAAAAUCGUAAAUGUCUCUUCCGAAGCUUCUGUCAGAAGAAUAUGCUAGCAAUCAACUCACGAAUCAUAUGAACAAUAAAAGCCGAUGUCGAGGUGACGAAGAAAACAACACGUCGAAGUGCUGUCAAACGUGUCUUCGCUUCCGGAGAAGGAAGCGCCGGAAGGCAAAAGGCGUCGUGGUGAAACGAAAGCCGAUAAAUACGUUGCUGGAUUGGAUGAUGUAGAAAUGUUACACGAAGGCAAAGGACACGCUGCCGACAAUCCACGCCAAUCACGUGCCAGAUGAGCCGGAGGCGAACAAUGGAUCGCCAGUCACAUCCGUCAAAAGUGGACGACUUACUCGCGCAAAGGGGGCAAUCAAAGUUCAUUUUGACGAGGCCGAAACGGCGCAUUCGCCAGUCAGAUUCACCCGUCCGGCGCGGAAGACCGGCCGAGAAGAAAGUCUCUGUCCAGCUGGAACGCGACCCCGACAUUGAGACUUUGGUCGCUACAGCCAAAGAAGAGGAAGAGAAAGCACCGGCCGCCAAACGUUCACGACAAAAGAAGGGCCCGGCAGUAUCUGCCGCAACAAUGGCGGAUGAACCUCCGGCCGUGCCGGCCACGAAACGGACAUGUGGUGGCAAGAAAACUACCGAACCUGAGCUUGUUAAGGAGGAUACCUGAUCGCCACCACCACCACCUCGACGUACUAGAAACAUCUAACAGCAAGACCCAUCAAUGAAUUACCUAUUUUAUUUUUCUUUUGUUUCACGGUAACUCGUAUCCUUAAAAGAUUGUGGAGACAAACAUUGGGGUUCCAGCGGUUUCCUUAGUUAGG